rnacentral:rRNA from 1 species
UACGUAGGGUGCGAGCGUUGUCCGGAAUUACUGGGCGUAAAGAGCUCGUAGGUGGUUUGUCGCGUCGUCUGUGAAAUUCCGGGGCUUAACUCCGGGCGUGCAGGCGAUACGGGCAGGCUUGAGUACUGUAGGGGUAACUGGAAUUCCUGGUGUAGCGGUGAAAUGCGCAGAUAUCAGGAGGAACACCGAUGGCGAAGGCAGGUUACUGGGCAGUUACUGACGCUGAGGAGCGAAAGCAUGGGUAGCGAACAGG